UGGGGGAUAUUGCACAAUGGGGGAAACCCUGAUGCAGCGACGCCGCGUGAGGGAAGACGGUUUUCGGAUUGUAAACCUCUGUCUUUGGGGACGAUAAUGACGGUACCCAAGGAGGAAGCCACGGCUAACUACGUGCCAGCAGCCGCGGUAAUACGUAGGUGGCAAGCGUUGUCCGGAAUUACUGGGUGUAAAGGGAGCGCAGGCGGGAAUACAAGUCAAGUGUUAAAACAAUCGGCUCAACCGGUUGUCGCGCUUGAAACUGUAAUUCUUGAGUGAAGUAGAGGUAGGCGGAAUUCCUAGUGUAGCGGUGAAAUGCGUAGAUAUUAGGAGGAACACCAGUGGCGAAGGCGGCCUACUGGACUUUAACUGACGCUGAGGCUCGAAAGUGUGGGGAGCAAACA
rnacentral:rRNA from 1 species